CGGGUGAGUAGCACGUAUCCAACCUGCCGUCUACUCUUGGACAGCCUUCUGAAAGGAAGAUUAAUACAAGAUGGCAUCAUGAGUUCACAUGUUCACAUGAUUAAAGGUAUUCCGGUAGACGAUGGGGAUGCGUUCCAUUAGAUAGUAGGCGGGGUAACGGCCCACCUAGUCUUCGAUGGAUAGGGGUUCUGAGAGGAAGGUCCCCCACAUUGGAACUGAGACACGGUCCAA
rnacentral:rRNA from 1 species